rnacentral:rRNA from 1 species
AGAGUUUGAUCCUGGCUCAGAAUCAACGCUGGCGGCGUGCCUAACACAUGCAAGUCGAACGCGAAAGGGGCUUCGGCCCUGAGUAGAGUGGCGAACGGGUGAGUAACACGUGGGUGAUCUACCUCUGAGUGGGGGAUAACGUUCCGAAAGGAGCGCUAAUACCGCAUGAUGUCCUGGGUUUGAAGACCUGGAAACCAAAGUCGGGGCCCUUGAAGUAAUUCAAGGCCUGACGCUUGGAGAGGAGCCCGCGCCUGAUUAGCUAGUUGGUGAGGUAACGGCUCACCAAGGCGACGAUCAGUAGCCGGCCUGAGAGGGCGGACGGCCACACUGGGACUGAGACACGGCCCAGACUCCUACGGGAGGCAGCAGUGGGGAAUUGUUCGCAAUGGGCGCAAGCCUGACGACGCAACGCCGCGUGGAGGAUGAAGGUCUUCGGAUUGUAAACUCCUGUUGACCGGGAAGAAUGGACUCCGACUAAACACGUCGGGGUAAUGACGGUACCGGUUGAGGAAGCCACGGCUAACUCUGUGCCAGCAGCGGCGGUAAUAC